CAACCUGCCCACCACUUGGGGAUAACCUUGCGAAAGUAAGACUAAUACCCAAUGAUAUCUCUAGAAGACAUCUGAAAGAGAUUAAAGAUUUAUCGGUGAUGGAUGGGGAUGCGUCUGAUUAGCUUGUUGGCGGGGUAACGGCCCACCAAGGCGACGAUCAGUAGGGGUUCUGAGAGGAAGGUCCCCCACAUUGGAACUGAGACACGGUCCAAACUCCUACGGGAGGCAGCAGUGAGGAAUAUUGGUCAAUGGACGAGAGUCUGAACCAGCCAAGUAGCGUGCAGGAUGACGGCCCUAUGGGUUGUAAACUGCUUUUAUAAGGGAAUAAAGUGAGUCUCGUGAGACUUUUUGCAUGUACCUUAUGAAUAAGGACCGGCUAAUUCCGUGCCAGCAGCCGCGGUAAUACGGAAGGUCCGGGCGUUAUCCGGAUUUAUUGGGUUUAAAGGGAGCGUAGGCCGGAGAUUAAGCGUGUUGUGAAAUGUAGAUGCUCAACAUCUGCACUGCAGCGCGAACUGGUUUCCUUGAGUACGCACAAAGUGGGCGGAAUUCGCGGUGUAGCGGUGAAAUGCUUAGAUAUCACGAAGAACUCCGAUUG
rnacentral:rRNA from 1 species